AGUGAACGCUGGCGGUAGGCCUAACACAUGCAAGUCGAACGGCAGCACAGUAAGAGCUUGCUCUUACGGGUGGCGAGUGGCGGACGGGUGAGGAAUACAUCGGAAUCUACUUUUUCGUGGGGGAUAACGUAGGGAAACUUACGCUAAUACCGCAUACGACCUACGGGUGAAAGCAGGGGAUCUUCGGACCUUGCGCGAUUGAAUGAGCCGAUGUCGGAUUAGCUAGUUGGCGGGGUAAAGGCCCACCAAGGCGCCGAUCCGUAGCUGGUCCGAGAGGAGGCUCAGGCACACUGGAACUGAGACACGGUCCAGACUCCUACGGGAGGCAGCAGUGGGGAAUAUUGGACAAUGGGCGCAAGCCUGAUCCAGCCAUACCGCGUGGGUGAAGAAGGCCUUCGGGUUGUAAAGCCCUUUUGUUGGGAAAGAAAAGCAGCAGGUUAAUACCCCGCUGUUCUGACGGUACCCAAAGAAUAAGCACCGGCUAACUUCGUG
rnacentral:rRNA from 1 species